rnacentral:tRNA from 2 species
UAGCUCAGUUGGUUAGAGCACCACCUUGACAUGGUGGGGGUCGUUGGUUCGAGUC